rnacentral:misc_RNA from 1 species
CGCACAUUGCGCCCUUUGGUAUUCCAUCGGGCAUGCCUGUUCGAGCGUCAUGUAACACCAUCAAGCAUCGCUUGGUGUUGGGUGUCUGUCUGCCUUUGCAGACUCGCCUUGAAUCAAUCGGCAGCAGUUUGCUAGCUUUCUGCGCGCAGCACCUUGCGCUCCAAGGAAGGCUUUUGCGAGUCUGCAUCCCUCAAGACUUCUCAGUUUGACCUCGAAUCAGGUAGGGAUACCCGCUGAACUUAA